rnacentral:rRNA from 1 species
AUUGAACGCUGGCGGCAGGCCUAACACAUGCAAGUCGAACGAGUGGAGGACGGGUGAGUAAUGUCGGGAAAACUGCCUGACGGAGGCGGCAAACUAGUGGAAAAGGUCGCUAAUACAGCAAAAUGUGCGAUGAGCCGAGGUGGGAGUAGCUUGUUGGUGGGGUACCGGCUGACCAAGGCGAAGAGCCCUAGCUGGUCUGGGAGGAUGACCAGCCACACUGGAACUGAGACAGGGUCCAGACUCAUACGGGGGGCAUCAGUUGGGAAUCUUGCACAAUGGGCGAAAGCCUGAUGCAGCCAUGCCGCGUGUAUGAAGAAGGCCUUCGGGUUGUGAAAUUCUUUCAGCGGAGAAGCGUUACCUGCAGAAGAAGCACCGGCUAACUCCGUGCCAGCCGCCGCGGUAAUUC